rnacentral:rRNA from 1 species
GAGGGGGUCGCGGCUGAUUAGCUAGUUGGUGAGGUGAUGGCUCACCAAGGCGAUGAUCAGUAGCCGGCCUGAGAGGGCGCACGGCCACACUGGAACUGAAACACGGUCCAGACUCCUACGGGAGGCAGCAGUGGGGAAUUUUGCGCAAUGGGGGAAACCCUGACGCAGCAACGCCGCGUGGAGGAUGAAGUCCCUUGGGACGUAAACUCCUUUCGACCGGGACGAAUAAUGACGGUACCGGAAGAAGAAGCCCCGGCUAACUUCGUGCCAGCAGCCGCGGUAAUACGAGGGGGGCAAGCGUUGUUCGGAAUUAUUGGGCGUANAGGGCGCGUANGCGGUGCGGAAAGUCUUCAGUGAAAUCUCUGGGCUCAACUCAAAGUCUGCUGGGGAUACUCCCGU